rnacentral:lncRNA from 1 species
UUUUUUUUUUUUUUCCUUUUAGGGCUGCACCUGCAGCAUAUGGAUGUUCCUGGGCUAGGGGUAGAAUUGGAGCUGCAGCUCCUGGCCUAUGCCGCAGCUUGGGGCAGCACUGGAUCCUGAACCCACUGAGUGAGGCCAGGGAUUGAACCUGCAUCUUCACAGACACUGUGUUGGGUUCUUAACCCACUGAGCCACAAUGGGAACUCCUAACGUAACCUUUUAUUUAUAUAUUUGGCUGCACCCAUGGGAUGUGGAAGUUCCUGGGCUAGGGAUCAAACCCUAUACCACAGCAGCGAUCUGAAUUACUGCAGUGACAAUGCCAGACCCUUAACCUCCUGAGCCACAAAGGAACUACAUGAUGUAUCCUUUUAAAAUGUCCAUUAUGAUAAAUUUUAUUUUAUUUAUUUAUUUAUUUAUUUUUUUUGGUCUUUUGUCUUUUUUUUUUGUUGUUGUUGUUGUUGUUGUUAUUGUUGCUAUUUCUUGGGCCACUCCCGCGGCAUAUGGAGGUUCCCAGGCACAUGCUCUGGGAAGUGGAGGAGUCAGGACUCAAACCCAGGCCAUCUGCCCAAUACCUCUACAUUGGCAUCCGCUGCCUUAGCUGGCAGGCUGCCUAGUGAGCCAGCUGAUGAGAGGAAUUUCAGGUUUAGUUCUCCUCUAUGCACUUACACAGAUAUUUCUCUCUCUGUGUUGUAUGUUUAGCACGGUAUUAACCACAUCUUCUACUUUCUGUACACUGAUGCUUUGACAGCCGGGGCCUUGCUGACCCUUGAGGGACUGCUCCUUCCAGAGUUAGACAAUUCCUAGAGAGAAGGAAGAAUGCUUGCCCUCGCACUUGUUCUACAAACGUGAACCAAAUACCCGGUGCAGAGCCCACAGCCUCAGUACUUCCGUAUCAGGCCCCCAUAGUCGGGGCCACCAUCCACCUGCUCUCUUCACCCCAGAGCCAGGUCCUGGACAACUAGAGACGGCCCCUUUGUCCCAGAGCCUGAUGGAAUCAUUCAAACUUGCCAAUCCUAAGCCUUCCUACCCUGCCUCACUCAUUCCUUCCUGCAGAAACCACAAUAAAGGAGUUCCCUCAUGGCGGAGUGGCUUAAGGAUCUGGCGUUGUCACUGAUGUAUCUCUGGUUGCUGCUGUAGCACAGGUUUGAUCCCUUGCCCGGGAACUUUUGCAUGCUGCACCUGUGCAUGCUCCCCCCGAGAAGAAACCACACU